CGCUGCGGCGUGCUUAACACAUGCAAGUCGAACGAUGAAGCCCUUCGGGGUGGAUUAGUGGCGAACGGGUGAGUAACACGUGGGCAAUCUGCCCUUCACUCUGGGACAAGCCCUGGAAACGGGGUCUAAUACCGGAUAAUACUUUCCUCCUCCUGGAGGAAGGUUGAAAGCUCCGGCGGUGAAGGAUGAGCCCGCGGCCUAUCAGCUAGUUGGUGGGGUAAUGGCCUACCAAGGCGACGACGGGUAGCCGGCCUGAGAGGGCGACCGGCCACACUGGGACUGAGACACGGCCCAGACUCCUACGGGAGGCAGCAGUGGGGAAUAUUGCACAAUGGGCGAAAGCCUGAUGCAGCGACGCCGCGUGAGGGAUGACGGCCUUCGGGUUGUAAACCUCUUUCAGCAGGGAAGAAGCGAAAGUGACGGUACCUGCAGAAGAAGCGCCGGCUAACUACGUGCCAGCAGCCGCGGUAAUACGUAGGGCGCAAGCGUUGUCCGGAAUUAUU
rnacentral:rRNA from 1 species